rnacentral:sRNA from 1 species
GCCCCAGAGUCCCCGCACCAGGCAGAGCCGUACCUGUCACCCUCCCCAAGCGCCCGCACCGCGGUGCAAGAGCCCAGCCCAGGGGCGCUGGACGUGACCAUCAUGUACAAGGGCCGCACGGUGCUGCAGAAGGUGGUGGGACACCCUAGCUGCACGUUCCUAUACGGGCCCCCAGACCCAGCUGUCCGAGCCACAGACCCCCAGCAGGUAGCAUUCCCCAGCCCUGCCGAGCUCCCGGACCAGAAGCAGCUGCGCUACACGGAGGAACUGCUGCGGCAUGUGGCCCCUGGGUUGCACCUGGAGCUUCGGGGGCCACAGCUGUGGGCCCGGCGCAUGGAGUCCCCUUCUUCAGAGCUGGUGGAAUUCCGGGCACGGCAGCGCCGUGGCUCCCCACGCUAUACCAUCUACCUGGGCUUCGGGCAGGACCUGUCAGCUGGGAGGCCCAAGGAGAAGAGCCUGGUCCUGGUGAAGCUGGAACCCUGGCUGUGCCGAGUGCACCUAGAGGGCACGCAGCGUGAGGGUGUGUCUUCCCUGGAUAGCAGCAGCCUCAGCCUCUGCCUGUCCAGCACCAACAGCCUCUAUGACGACAUCGAGUGCUUCCUUAUGGAGCUGGAGCAGCCCGCCUAGAACCCAGUCUAAUGAGAACUCCAGAAAGCUGGAGCAGCCCACCUAGAGCUGGCCGCGGCCGC